AGCUGAGAGAAGCAAGCCUGACUUCUUCUUUUCAGAGGCACUGUGUUUCUUACUUCCUUUCCAUUAAGAGUUUAAUUAAGAGUUUGAUUAGUUAUUUUGGUUAGUUUGUAUCUCAGCAAGACUAAGAUAUUAGUGAUGGGUAAAGCCUUAAAUCUGAGUAAUUGACUGCCACAAUUUUGGCCAUCAAUAAUAAGCAUAGGAACUGAAAAUUAACAUCCCAUCUUUGAUUAGGAAGAUGACCUGCCAUUCCUAACCACUGCACAAAUAAAAUUAAUCAUAGCACAAAAAAUGCAGUUGCUUAAAGAAAACAUACCAUUUCCUCCACAUGAAGAAAUAAGGUCUGGAAGCUCAUGAAGGUAUUGCUGAAACUGCUUUGAUGAUUGUAACUUCCACACGUUGCGAAGCAAGCAGGUCAGAGGCUGUGGCUUGAAAUAGAGAGGCCCGGCUGGGAAAAAAAGAACAACAAAAUUUUAUUAAGUUCAUCUUGCAAUGCCACCUAACCUUGUAAAGCUGGGGGACAGAAACCUGUAAGACCAACCCUUAGAAACAUUUCUGAAUUUAUAAAAGAAAACAGAAUCUGCUGGCCUCUAUGGAGUGAUAUCAUUUGUCUGAGAAGAAAAUAAUUCUUACCUGACCUGUGACAUGGAAAGUGCUUGCCUUGGAGCUCUAUGAUUUUCAUAGAAAAAAGAUGCCCUUCCUCCGUAUCUUGUGAUGUGCAAUGUUUCAUGUCAGGACAGCUCCCCUGUGAAGGUCAGCAAACAGCAUGAAUGGUUCUCAGCAAGUAGUUCAGAUUCAGCACUGUCCCUGUCCCUGCCUGUACUUGAACUAUGUCAAGUGAUGGUGAGAAGCGCCAAAGGCCUGAGAGGACUCAGAGUGCUCUCAGCUGGUGAGUGGCUCCAAGCUGUCCCCUGGAAAGAAG
rnacentral:lncRNA from 1 species